GACGAACGCUGGCGGCGUGCUUAACACAUGCAAGUCGAGCGAUGAAGCACCUUCGGGUGUGGAUUAGCGGCGAACGGGUGAGGAACACGUGAGGACUCUGCCUUCCACUCUGGGAUAACUCCGGGAAACCGGGGCUAAUACCGGAUAGUUUCAACUGGCGGCAUCGCCGGUUGGAGAAACUUUUUCGGGAGAAGAUGACUUCGCGGCCUAUCAGCUUGUUGGUGAGGUAAAGGCUCACAGAGGCGACGCCGGGUAGCCGGCCUGAGAGGGUGACCGGCCACACUGGGACUGAGACACGCCCCAGACUCCUACGGUAGGCAGCGGUGGGAAGUAUUAUGCAGUGGAGGAGACUCUGACCCGGCGACGCCGCGUGAGGGAUGAGGGCCUGCGGGUUGUAAACCUCUUUCAGCAGAGAAUAAGCGAAAGUGAAGGUACCUGCAGAAGAAGCACCGGCUAACUAUGUGCCAGCCGCCGCUGUAA
rnacentral:rRNA from 1 species